GAUGCUCUAACCUCUGAGCUAAGUGGGC
rnacentral:tRNA from 1 species